GUUUUCCGUCAGAAGGCCGCGCAAGUGCACUUGCGUGUCUCCGUUACCGUAGCGACUGGGCUUCUGGACUGCAUAUCCUAGCUGCCUUGUCAACAUCUUCGAGCAUCGGCAGCUCCGGAGGCCGGGGUAACUGGCAGGUAGGAAACUAUGUGAAAGAAUCUCCUGAUGUCAUAAUUUCUGGGUGUCACUGGAACAUUUGAUCAUCAUUCCUUUGGCAAUUCCAGCCUUCUGUGGAAAGGCCAGUAGAAAGCAUUGAUUUAUUCACCUCUACAGGAAUCAGACUCAGCCUCUUUUGGUUUUCAGUGAAGUAUGCCUUUUCGAUUUGGAACCCAGCCAAGGAGGUUUCCAGUGGAAGGAGGAGAUUCUUCAAUUGAGCUGGAACCCGGGCUGAGCUCCAGUGCUGCCUGUAAUGGGAAGGAGAUGUCACCAACCAGGUACUCCCCAUUGACACUGUGGCCGUGGACCAGGGUUCCGGAACUGCUUCUGGGACGGACUUCAAAUGCAAUUUCAAACUUCAAUCCAAUAUUGAAAGAUUCAUCUGUGGAGAGAAACACUAUAAACUCCCAAGAACAGCAAGAUCGUAUUUGUAACUAUGGUAGCUUCAGUAGGAGGAAGACUUUCUUCUAGGACUCGAAGACCAUCAAUUACCAGUCGGCCACUGCUCCUUUCUCGAAUAAAUAUCACCUGGAUGAAGAGAAGGACAAUAGCACAUCUCAGAUUUGGAAAUCUCUGUCUACGUGUAUGAAAGGAGGGAAGCAGCUAUAAAUUAGAAGGGAGAUAGGAAAGUGAAGAUAUUUACUAGACUCUGCCUUUGCUUGCAGUUCUCUGGCUUGAUUGAGGAGGUUCUCACUUUCAUCUUUAUGGGACUUUGGCUAAAAAAAAUAAACUGUCAAAGGAACUGGCAUUUGCUGACUGGACUACAGCACAUCUCGAAGAAUCUGCAGACCGAAACCUUCAAGGCACUCAUGAAAUGGUCUUUCUUUAGUUCCCCUGCCCUUUCCACUCUUUCUGCCAUUUGGAUUUCACACUGGAAGUUCAAGAGAUGACAUCAGAAAACAGAAAAGCCAGUGGGAAAGGCAAGGAGAUUUGGAAGAGUGUUUGAAAAUUUUGGCAAUCAAGAAUAAGAAGGUGUUGAAAUCAAAUAGUUCCUGCUGGGCACUGUGGAGUAUUUAUCAGAAGUCAGUUAUAUUGCCAAUUCCCGACCAGCUUUACUUAAGACACUUGGGUGUGGAAAGAUAAUGCUGUCUAUGAAAUAAAUAGGUCGGUAAAUUUCAGUGCAGGACCACAUAAGUCUAAAAUACUACCUACAAUUUUGCUUAAAGAUCGUGCAACUGUGUAGACGGAUGUUCCUGCAAACCAAUAGGAGAUAGUACAGCACGUUUGUAUGCUGAUGGUAAUGAUUAAGUAAAGAAUGAGAACGGGAUGAUUCAGAAGAAAGGGCAUAACUUGAGGAGUGAAACCCUGCAACCUGUUUUCAAGAAAGCAGGAAGCCAAGUCACCAGGCAGAACUGAUAGCAUGGGAAGUGGGUUCCCACCAGUCGCAUGCAGCUGCUCUGGUAUGGCCAUGGUGCUGGGGAUGAGUCAGAAAUCUCAGUCCCUGCAGUCUUUCCUGACUUGGAGAAAAGGAAGAAUGGAACCCAUCUUCUCCAGAUUUGUUGUUAUGGGGUAGGUGUAGGUCUAGAGACAGAAAAGAAUCACAUUUGAACAUCCUCUCAAUGCAAGAACAUUUUUAAAGAAUCAAUUUCCCCUGAAUAUCCAUCAAGCCUAAUACAGUGUGACUAUCUGAGAUCAAUUAUUCUUAUCUUUACAAAGACUGGGAGUUAUACAGCAAAAGCAAUACUGUAAAAUAUUGUAUUAAAGUAUGUAAAAGAAGGGAGUUGAAAAAA